UACGUAGGGUGCGAGCGUUAAUCGGAAUUACUGGGCGUAAAGCGUGCGCAGGCGGUUGGUUAAGUCUGAUGUGAAAGCCCCGGGCUCAACCUGGGAAUGGCAUUGGAAACUGGCCAGCUGGAGUGUGGCAGAGGGGGGUGGAAUUCCGCGUGUAGCAGUGAAAUGCGUAGAGAUGCGGAGGAACACCGAUGGCGAAGGCAGCCCCCUGGGCCAACACUGACGCUCAUGCACGAAAGCGUGGGGAGCAAACAGG
rnacentral:rRNA from 1 species